GGCUACGCGUGAUCAGCUGCUGCCCAGCAGCGUGGAGAGAGAGUCAUCUCGGCGUGUACAUAAACCCGGCAGCGUGUCCCUGAUGUUGGCUGAGUCAGUGUCACGGUUCCUCCACCCCCUCCUUACCUUCUUUUGCUAGAUCUCUGGAAGAGGCGAGGUGGGCUGCAGGGAUAUUUUACGUAGUGUUAGUAACAAAGACAGAUGGUAGAAGGGGCAUGCAAGAAUCCCCCACCCCGCCCCUAUUCGCCUUCAUCGCUUCAUAUAGAUAUAAUAGGAAGUACCCAUAACUGUGGCUGGAAAGAGUGCGUAACGGGACUAGUAGCUGGAAUGUUGUGACCAGACAAGACUACAGACAUGCAACUGCAAGGCUAAUCGAAGCAAUAAUGCCUGUUUAAGCUACAGUAGAAAAGCUGUCUUCAGGACUCAGCUGAAUGCAAGAAGGCACCAAAAAGAAGUUCUUCAUCAGUGUGUCAGAGGUGAAUCCAGCAUCUUGCAUCUCACACCUGGAAUUGGAAUGGAAAGCACAUACAGAUAUUCAGGCAAAUAGUGGAGGAACGAUUUCAGUAUCCAAAGUCACUUUUUACUGUUUUCCAUAAUGUUUUAAAUACUGCAAGUUAAGCAAAUUAUACUGCCUAAUUUUA